rnacentral:tRNA from 1 species
AGGCCUGUAGGGAGUGUCACGUUAAUUGCAAAUUUGAAAAAGUUCCUAUUUGGUUCCAGGGCUU